CACUUUUGAAAGUUGGACUUGGGUACUUUUGAAAAUUAAUUAAGCAUAAAUGCUUUAAAUGGCUGUCCUCAAGUGUGUAAUAUGUAGACAAUUCCAAUUUAGAAGUCACCUAUAUUCGUUUCUAAAUAGGGCAGUGUGACACCUGUUGAUGCACACAAGAUAGAAGAUGACAUCAAGAAAAUAAUGCUUUCUGACUUGCAAAAUCUAGGGCUCAAAAAAGAUAUGGAAAUACAGGGUACAGUCACAGAAUUCAGGAACCCAAGUGAAUUUUACAUACAGGUCUAUUCUUCAGAAGUUGUAGAAUAUAUCAGCAAACUUACUGUGAAACUGAAAGAUUGUUAUGCAAAUAUUGUUAACCAAGAGGAAUAUAUUCCUAUCAAAGGGGAAGUUUGUGUUGCAAAAUAUUCUCUGGAUCAGACCUGGAACAGAGUACUGGUAAAAAAGGUGGAUAUCUUACAGAAGAAAGC